rnacentral:rRNA from 1 species
GAGUUUGAUCCUGGCUCAGAUUGAACGCUGGCGGAAUGCUUUACACAUGCAAGUCGAACGGCAGCACGGGGCAACCUGGUGGCGAGUGGCGAACGGGUGAGUAAUACAUCGGAACGUGCCCAAUCGUGGGGAUAACGUAGCGAAAGUUACGCUAAUACCGCAUACGAUCUACGGAUGAAAGCGGGGGAUCGCAAGACCUCGCGCGAAUGGAGCGGCCGAUGUCAGAUUAGGUAGUUGGUGGGGUAAAGGCUCACCAAGCCGACGAUCUGUAGCUGGUCUGAGAGGACGACCAGCCACACUGGGACUGAGACACGGCCCAGACUCCUACGGGAGGCAGCAGUGGGGAAUUUUGGACAAUGGGCGCAAGCCUGAUCCAGCCAUUCCGCGUGCAGGAUGAAGGCCUUCGGGUUGUAAACUGCUUUUGUACGGAACGAAACGGUUCUCUCUAAUACAGGGGGCUAAUGACGGUACCGUAAGAAUAAGCACCGGCUAACUACGUG